rnacentral:rRNA from 1 species
AAGGAAUAUUGGUCAAUGGGCGCAAGCCUGAACCAGCAACGCCGCGUGCGGGAUGAAGGGUUUCGGCCUGUAAACCGCUUUCCUGACGGACGAUGAUGACGGUACGUCAGGAAGAAGUCUCGGCUAACUACGUGCCAGCAGCCGCGGUAAAACGUAGGAGGCAAGCGUUAUCCGGAUUUACUGGGCGUAAAGCGCGUGCAGGCGGUUGGGUAAGUCAUGUGUGAAAGCUCCUCGCUCAACGGGGAGAGGACAGGUGAGACUGCCGGACUAGAGGAUGGUAGAGGCAAGUGGAAUUCCGGGUGGAGUGGUGAAAUGCGCAGAGAUCCGGAGGAACCCCUGUGGCGAAGGCGACUUGCUAGGCCAUAUCUGACGCUCAGACGCGAAAGCAUGGGGAGCGAA